ACGCACGUGUGAAACUUGAAGGAAUUGACGGAAGGGCACCACAAGAACGCGUGGAGCAUGUGGCUUAAUUUGACCCAACGCGGGAAAUCUUACCGGGUCCGGACACACUGAGGAUUGACAGGCAAUAUUAGCAAUUCUUUAUGUCUUUCGGGGCAUUAAAGUAGUUGUUAUGUUAAAUAUGCUAGUCCUUUCAUGAUUAUGUGAUAGGUGGUGCAUGGCCGUUCUUAGUUCGUGGAGUGAUCUGUUUGCUUAAUUGCGUUUCACAAAGGGCCUAUACAUUAUUUACGUUUUGACCUUCGACUCACGUCGCUGCGUCUUAAUGUAAUAUUUAGGUCCUGAAANCAACGAACGUGACCG
rnacentral:rRNA from 1 species